rnacentral:rRNA from 1 species
AACGAACGCUGGCGGCAGGCUUAACACAUGCAAGUCGAGCGCCCCGCAAGGGGAGCGGCAGACGGGUGAGUAACGCGUGGGAAUCUACCCUUUCCUACGGAAUAGCUCCGGGGAACUGGAAUUAAUACCGUAUACGCCCUUAGGGGGAAAGAUUUAUCGGGGAAGGAUGAGCCCGCGUUGGAUUAGCUAGUUGGUGGGGUAAAGGCCUACCAAGGCGACGAUCCAUAGCUGGUCUGAGAGGAUGAUCAGCCACAUUGGGACUGAGACACGGCCCAAACUCCUACGGGAGGCAGCAGUGGGGAAUAUUGGACAAUGGGCGCAAGCCUGAUCCAGCCAUGCCGCGUGAGUGAUGAAGGCCUUAGGGUUGUAAAGCUCUUUCACCGGAGAAGAUAAUGACGGUAUCCGGAGAAGAAGCCCCGGCUAACUUCGUGCCAGCCGCCGCCGUAA